CCUACGGGAGGCAGCAGUGGGGAAUAUUGCGCAAUGGGCGUAAGCCUGACGCAGCGACGCCGCGUGAGGGAUGAAGGUCUUCUGAUCGUAAACCUCUGUCAGCAGGGAAGUACGGUCACUGUGCUAAUCAGCAGUGAAUUGACGUUACCUGCAAAGGACGCACCGGUUAACUCCGGCCCAGCAGCCGCGGUAAUACGGAGGGUGCGAGCGUUAAUCGGAAUUAAUGGGCGUAAGGGGCGCGUAGGCGGUAUGUCAAGUCAAGGGUGAAAGCCCCGCGCGCAACGAGAGAACUGCCUUUGAAACUGGCAGACUGGAGUGUGUGAGAGGAUAGUGGAAUUCCAGGUGUAGGAGUGAAAUCCGUAGAUAUCAGGAGGAACAUCAGUGGCGAAGGCGACUAUCUGGCACAUAACUGACGCUGAGGCGCGAAAGCGUGGGUAGCAAACAGGAUUAGAUACCCCAGUAGUC
rnacentral:rRNA from 1 species